rnacentral:lncRNA from 1 species
GACUUUACCACGCCCAGUGGUGACCAACUCCGGAGCGCACCGCUCGAGGGGAAGCGACCUCCCUCAAGUCAAGACAUAACGUGAGUAUCGAUCCAAUCCUCAACUUGAGGAUUCAUAGCCACUAGUCAUAACGCCGAUGUCAUGAUAGGUCUCUCCCUAUUCAUUCUUGCCACUCUCAAGGCUAUACCUGUAAUGAUGCCAUAAUUGGUUAAACUAUGUUUAACGGUUCAUCUCUCAAUACCAAUCUUGUUUCUAUGUCAAUGUCACCCUUAUUUUCUAUUGUCCAAGUCCAACCUCACAUUCACACAACUUGAGGGUCCAAUCACACAUGUCCAUUUUGGUUCUAUCAUCCUCUAUGUUCAACUACGUUAGAAGCAUAUAAAUAAAGUCAAACUAAGUUUCACAUGUAUCUACCCUACUAUGCAUGAAUGGGUAUACAUAUAUAUGCUCAAGAAUAGAGAAAACAGACAUAGAAGGGAAUCCAACGAUUCCGGCGUGCACCCCCCCCACCUCUAUUGGUCGUGUGGGUGUAGAAUAUGAAAGCUCCCGCACUUUACGAAAGCCAAUUCCGCGCCCUAUAAUCAAAAUAGUGUCAUAUUAGGCCUUUUGUACAUGAACUAUACUCUAAUAUUUUCGCAACGUUAAACGGAGUUGUCCAACGUGUUUAGGGCACCCUCAAUUAGGUUUCUACGGGGUCAAUUUGUCCCCGAAAAAUUCUAGGGCAAAACCCCCAAUUUUCAAGCCCUAACAAUGUCAUUUAGGGUUUUCCCAUGAAUCGAUCCCAACCCUAAGCAAACAAUAGCUUAGGAUCAUCUAAGAAGCAUCCUAACAAGGUUUCUAGACCUUUGGAACCAACCCUAGAGCUCCAAACACCACUUCCAAGGAUUCACCAUGAGAGCACCUUGAGCUCUCAUGGAUAUCUUGUUAUUCAUGGCUCAAAAGAGCUUCUAAAACCUCUAAGGAGCACAAAGCUCUAAUUCCUUAGGUUAAAACCCAAACCCUAGAGGAAAACCUUACAAAACUCACCUCUAGUCCAAGCUCCACCAAGGUUCUUCUUGUUGGAGAGCUCCUAGAACCUCCAAAACACCAAAUCCACCUUCUUUUCCAAGUUCUUCUUCUUCUUCUCCAAGCUCUAGAGG